AAGUCGUAACAAGGUUUCCGUAGGUGAACCUGCGGAAGGAUCAUUAACACGUAUCCAAACGUAAAAAACCCCCCCCGUGAACAUUCAAUCCUGCUCUUGUAACCCGCGUAGUUCGCAAUCUCUGGUAAAUCAUAGCCCGGAAAGUAGUUUUGAUUCAGAGACCUCUGGCUACGUGAGAACAUUGGAACAGUUACAAUCGAGCGGUAGUUUCAUAGGCAUUGUUUCCCCAAGCAGUUGGUGUCUGAAAGUGUCACUGAUUGUGCAAGGAUAGCGCUUCAACGAUUCCUGUAGACCGUACACUCGGGCAUAUGCCAAAGGGUCCCCAUGCCCCCUUAUAACCCCACAGUUUAAUGUGAAGCUCAAUGUAAAAACCGAACAACUGUUAACAAUGGAUAUCUUGGUUCUC
rnacentral:misc_RNA from 1 species